rnacentral:rRNA from 1 species
CGAAGCAACGCGAAGAACCUUACCAGGUCUUGACACUCCCCUGACCAACCCGAGAGAGUCGGGCGUUCCCCGUCGGGGGACAGGGUGACGAGGUGGUGCAUGGUUGUCGUCAGCUCGUGUCGUGAGAUGUUGGGUUAAGUCCCGCAACGAGCGCAACCCUCGUCCUAUGUUGCCAGCGGGUCAUGCCGGGGACUCAUGGGAGACUGCCGGGGUCAACUCGGAGGAAGGUGGGGGAUGACGUCAAAUCAUCAUGCCCCUUAUGUCUUGGGCUUCACGCAUGCUACAAUGGCCGGUACAAAGGGCUGCGAUACCGCGAGGUGGAGCGAAUCCCAGAAAGCCGGUCUCAGUUCGGAUUGGGGUCUACAACUCGACCCCAUGAAGUCGGAGUCGCUAGUAAUCGCAGAUCAGCAACGCUGCGGUGAAUACGUUCCCGGGCCUU